rnacentral:lncRNA from 10 species
CACGGUCACCUGGGUGAGGGGCAGCGGAAGGGGCGGCGGAGCACCGAUCUCAUGGAUGGGCUCCGAGGGGCUUGCGGGAGGGGGGCGCCAGUGUUCGGGGCCGUUUUGGCGGCUAUGCAGGAUUGGCAGGAGCUGCGAUGCUCACACUUGCCUCGCCGACCGCCAUUUCACAUCCAGCAGAGGAGGCGGGGGCAGCCGCUGAGACGGUUUUUCACAAGGUAAGAAAAUCCGCCCGCGUGAGGAGGGAGGCGAGGCGCAGAUCUCGUGCCGCUGCGGCCUCGCGGGAGGGAAGGGCGGGCGGGCGGCGGAACGGGCGGGGCCGGGUGCGGACGCAGCCGGCCCUUCUCAGGUGCAUUUUAGUGGUUACCAGGUUGCCACGUAUUUGAAGUGGUGUGAGAGCUACUCGUUUGGAACCGUUGUGGAUUUUCAAAUAGGAAAAUCAAAAGGCCCAAAGAGACAGCUCACUGGUGACCAUGCUUUGGGAUUUUCAUAGUUUGAGUAAUUCCUAUGGGCUCUACCACCCAGCGAGUUAAAGAAGACAAGAUUCCACCCCCAGGGGGUUGUGGUUCUGGGAAUGUGAGCAGCUUGUUUUCAGGAGAUCUGCAUCUUGAUCUGGCCUGCUAUUAGGAUCUGUGGUGGUGGUGCCUGUCUGGUUUUAGUUGUUUCUUUUAUCUUACACAGAUUUUUGUAAGUUAUUUGCAUAUAAAGGUUUUUGAAAAGUGAAUGUUUUAUGGGGGCAUCUUGCUUAUACAAAGAAAAAUUAAAACUGUUUUAAAAUAAUCACUCGUGUUACACUUGUCUAUUCUAAAAUAAAUGAAAGUAUUAAUGUUGUUGUCUGGAAGGAAAAUGAAGACCAGGAAAAUAGCUAUGCUCUUAAUGUUUUAAAAUAAGGUAAUAUUAUUCUCUGUUUGAAUGGAGGCUUCUAAGGAAUUACCACAGUCUCACACACAAUCGACUUAAAUGCAUUCUUUAUCUUUAAAAGGAAGCAGAAUAGGAUCAUUGAGUAAAUCACAUGUGUUCACAGUCUUGUCUGGUGUAAUCGUAUACUACACAAACACAUUAUUCUGUAGUCAGGAGGGGAAGGGGACAUUUGAAGCAGGACUUGCCCUUGAGGAGGCCUUUUUCUGUUUAAAGUAUAGUGCAGUGAAAGACCACACAGUAGAAGAUAACAAAAUAUCUUCCAUGCCACCCCCACUUUUUCAUUUUCUCAUUCUCCUUUGUUCUCUAAGGACAUCUGUUGAAAUGAUUAUUCUGUAAAACUCAUAGGUACCUAGCAGAAGCCAUAUCAUAUUUCAUUUAUUAUUUUGUCUACUUAAUUAUUGUUUUCUUUUAUAUCAUGCAAUUGUGGGUUUUAAAAAUAUUCUGUUUAUAAAAGAUAUGAAAGUAUGUUAUAGAAAAUUUAUUAGUUAACUGUAGAUAUCUAAAGAGUAAAAGUUUCAACUCUGAAUUUAAUAAAAUUAUAUCUUAGGAAGCCCAGCAGACUUUUAUUAAGCUACGUCUUAAAAAGAUAAAUAUACUAAAAAGAGAUACUUAAAAAGAUGAAUUUUCCUUUCUAUAUUAAUUACAAUGGAUUUUUAGAUAAUAUGGAAAUAUAUAAAAGUAGUCAGUGUUUAGACAUUUGAAAAAUUAAUGGGAAUAUAUAUUUUGCUGUAUGGUUCUGAAAGUACUAAUUGGUAAUUGAAUCAUAAAAUAUCAGAGUUGAGAUUAAAGAGCUAAAAUUAAAUAAUAUCUUCAGAGACUUAACAGAGAUCUUUCAUUUGUGCCAAAUUUAGUAAGAUUUGCCUCAAUUCAGUUUUACUUAUGGUGUAUAUUGAUUCUUUAAAAUGUCACGUGUAUGGUGGCUCAUGCCUGUAAUCCCAGCACUUUGGGAGGCCAAGGCGGGCAGAUCAUGAGGUCAGGAGAUAUAGACCAUCCUGCCUAACAUGGUGAAACCCUGUCUCUACUAAAAAUACAAAAAAAGGCCCGG